AUUGAACGCUGGCGGCAUGCUUUACACACGCAAGUCGAACGGCAGCGCGCGCUUCUUCCUGGCGGCGCGUGUCGGACGGGUGAGUAAUACAUCCGAACGUGCCCAGUCUUUGCGUCUUGCUCGUCUACGGCCGGAUUAAUACCGCAUACGACCUGAUGUUGAAAGCUGGGGUUCUUCGGUCCUCGCGCUUUUUGAUCUGCCGUUGGCAGAGUGGCUAGUUGGUGGGGUUAAGGCCUACCAAGGCGACUAUCUGUAGCCGGUCUGAGAGGACGACCGGCCAACCUGGGAGGAGGACACGGCCGAGACGCCUACGGGAGGCAGCAGUGGGGAAUUUUGGACAAUGGGCGAAAGCAUGAUCCAGCAGUGCCGCGGGGGGGAUGAAGGACGUCGGGUUGUAAAGAACUUUUGGCGGGAACGAAAAGGACUGUGCCAAUACCACGGUUGGAUGACGGUACCCGGAGAAGAAGCACCGGCUAACUACGUG
rnacentral:rRNA from 1 species